rnacentral:lncRNA from 1 species
GGGCCAACUCGGCUCUGAAAAUAUUUGCAUCCCAUUUUAAAAAUAUCAGGAAAUAAAUCGAAAUAAGGUUAGAAUUCAGAAUUGAAUUAUACCUGGUAUGCAAGUGUGUGCGUAUUUUUAAUUCCUCUGUGCUUCAACUCCUUCAUUAUAAGACUAACGCAGUCCUCCAUUUGGUCUCUAUAGGGAUCACCAGCAUCCUCAACAUAAGUAACUGGCACUCCAUGAGCACUGAAGAAAAUCAUAACCUGUUUGAAAUUUCAAAACACGAUUGAACAUUUGAGUGAGUAUCAAAGUUAUAAAAUGCAAUAGUUUAGGUGG